GCCAGGCGCAGUGGCGCAUGCCUGUCAUCCCAGAGGAUCGGGAGGCUGAGGCAGGCGGAUCACAAGUUCAAAGCCAGCCUUAGAAAUGGUGAGGCCCUAAGCAACUCAGUGAGACCCUGUCUCUA
rnacentral:sRNA from 1 species